CAUGUACAUGCUUGCAAUUUGAUUCGAUUACAUUCAGUUGUUAUUUCAUGAGUUAUGGAUUCAAUUCAUUCAUCUAUUUGAUUGAUAACGUAUUUGUGUAUGUUGAUUGAGAGUGCACGCUUAAUUCUCAUGCAUGAAUAUGAUGCUAGAUUAUGAGGGAGUUUCACCUAAUAGUUACAAUCUUAUAAUCACAAGUAGUGAAGAUCGCUUGAAAACGAUCGCGUUGAAUGAAUUCUUAGCAUAAGUUUCAUGCAAUUCAUAGUAACAAAUGCUUCGUCAAUGCUUAUGUUUUUCAUAAAACGUAAUGAUUCUUGCUUGUAUCUCUAUUAUGCAAUUCAUGUAGGGAACUUGUAGGGAAUGUUUUAAGUUGUCGUAUGCAAUCAUCCAACUUGAUAAAUUCUGGAAAAACUGAGGGUUAAUUAGUGCAAUUCACGGUUAAUUCGGGGCAUUGAGUCUUUAUAAUUUAUUGGAAGAACAACUGAAAAUCGUUUUGUUUGCAAGUGUGACAUGUGUGGAGAAGAACCUCCUAACUAGCCUUUUAUCCAUCUAUUUCACCAAAAUCGUUUUUACAAUCUGUUUAGUUCAAGUUUCUGUUUUGUGUUAAAUUUUCGUCCAAAACAAAUCCCCCUUUAAUUUGAAGUCUUAGAUUAGUUAG
rnacentral:lncRNA from 1 species